rnacentral:rRNA from 1 species
AGAGUUUGAUCAUGGCUCAGAACGAACGCUGGCGGCAGGCUUAACACAUGCAAGUCGAGCGCCCCGCAAGGGGAGCGGCAGACGGGUGAGUAACGCGUGGGAAUCUACCGUACCCUACGGAAUAGCUCCGGGAAACUGGAAUUAAUACCGUAUGUGGCUUGAGAGCGAAAGAUUUAUCGGGGUAUGAUGAGCCCGCGUUGGAUUAGCUAGUUGGUGGGGUAAAGGCCUACCAAGGCGACGAUCCAUAGCUGGUCUGAGAGGAUGAUCAGCCACAUUGGGACUGAGACACGGCCCAAACUCCUACGGGAGGCAGCAGUGGGGAAUAUUGGACAAUGGGCGCAAGCCUGAUCCAGCCAUGCCGCGUGAGUGAUGAAGGCCCUAGGGUUGUAAAGCUCUUUCAGUGGGGACGAUAAUGACGGUACCCACAGAAGAAGCCCCGGCUAACUUCGUGCCAGCAGCCGCGGUAAUACGAAGGGGGCUAGCGUUGUUCGGAAUUACUGGGCGUAAAGCGCGCGUAGGCGGAUUGUUAAGUCAGGGGUGAAAUCCCGGGGCUCAACCCCGGAACUGCCUCUGAUACUGGGUGUCUUGAGUGUGGUAGAGGUGAGUGGAAUUGCGAGUGUAGAGGUGAAAUUCGUAGAUAUUCGCAGGAACACCAGUGGCGAAGGCGGCUCACUGGCUCGAUACUGACGCUGAGGUGCGAAAGCGUGGGGAGCAAACAGGAUUAGAUACCCUGGUAGUCCACGCCGUAAACGAUGGAAGCUAGCUGUCGGGCAGUUUACUGUUCGGUGGCGCAGCUAACGCAUUAAGCUUCCCGCCUGGGGAGUACGGUCGCAAGAUUAAAACUCAAGGGAAUUGACGGGGGCCCGCACAAGCGGUGGAGCAUGUGGUUUAAUUAGAAGCAACGCGCAGAACCUUACCAGCCCUUGACAUCCCGAUCGCGGUUUCCAGAGAUGGAUCCCGCUUGGCUGGAUCGGUGACAGGUGCUGCAUGGCUGUCGUCAGCUCGUGUCGUGAGAUGUUGGGUUAAGUCCCGCAACGAGCGCAACCCUCACCCUUAGUUGCCAUCAUUUAGUUGGGCACUCUAAGGGAACUGCCGGUGACAAAGCCGGAGGAAGGUGGGGAUGACGUCAAGUCCUCAUGGCCCUUACGGGCUGGGCUACACACGUGCUACAAUGGCGGUUACAGUGGGCCGCGACCCUGCGAGGGGAAGCGAAUCUCUAAAAACCGUCUCAGUUCGGAUUGUUCUCUGCAACUCGAGAGCAUGAAGUUGGAAUCGCUAGUAAUCGUGGAUCAGCAUGCCACGGUGAAUACGUUCCCGGGCCUUGUACACACCGCCCGUCACACCAUGGGAGUUGGUUUUACCCGAAGGUGGUGCGCUAACCUGUUUACAGGAUGCAGCCAACCACGGUAAGGUCAGCGACUGGGGUGAAGUCGUAACAAGGUAGCCGUAGGGGAACCUGCGGCUGGAUCACCUCCUU